GACGGAGGAUGCAAGUGUUAUCCGGAAUCACUGGGCGUAAAGCGUCUGUAGGUGGUCAAAUAAGUCAACUGUUAAAUCUUGAGGCUCAACCUCAAAAUCGCAGUCGAAACUAUUCGACUAGAGUAUAGUAGGGGUAAAGGGAAUUUCCAGUGGAGCGGUGAAAUGCGUAGAGAUUGGAAAGAACACCGAUGGCGAAGGCACUUUACUGGGCUAUUACUAACACUGAGAGACGAAAGCUAGGGUGGCAAAUGGG
rnacentral:rRNA from 1 species